GUGCCAGCCGCCGCGGUAAUACGGAGGGGGCGAGCGUUAUUCGGAAUCAUUGGGCGUAAAGGGCGCGUAGGCGACCUGGCAAGUCAGGGGUGAAAUCCCUCGGCUCAACCGAGGAACUGCCUCUGAAACUGCUUGGCUAGAGACCGGGAGAGGGUAGUGGAAUUCCCAGUAUAGCGGUGAAAUGCGUAGAUAUUGGGAGGAACACCAGUGGCGAAGGCGGCUACCUGGACCGGUUCUGACGCUGAGGCGCGAAAGUGUGGGGAGCAAACAGGAUUAGAUACCCUGGUAGUCCACACCGUAAACGAUGAGCACUCGGUGCUGCGGGUGUCGACCCCUGCAGUACCUUAGGUAACCCGUUAAGUGCUCCGCCUGGGGAGUACGGUCGCAAGGCUGAAACUCAAAUGAAUUGACGG
rnacentral:rRNA from 1 species